UACGAACCACCCAAACGUUAUUCGGAAUUACUGGGCUUAAAGGGUGCGUAGGCGGCGCGGCAAGUUGGAUGUGAAAUCCCUCGGCUCAACCGAGGAACUGCGUUCAAAACUACCGUGCUCGAGGAAGACAGAGGUAAGCGGAACUUCGGGUGGAGCGGUGAAAUGCGUUGAUAUCCGAAGGAACACCGGUGGCGAAAGCGGCUUACUGGGUCUUUUCUGACGCUGAUGCACGAAAGCUAGGGGAGCAAACGGG
rnacentral:rRNA from 1 species